rnacentral:rRNA from 1 species
UCAGGAUGAACGUUGGCGGUAUGCCUUAUACAUGCAAGUCGAACGGAGACUGUAGCAAUACUGUCUUAGUGGAGAACGGGUGAGUAACGCGUUGGUGAUCUGCCCUGAAGUGUGGAAUAACGUUCCGAAAGGAUCGCUAAUACCGCAUGGUCUCUCAAUGUUUAGAAAGUUGAGAGUAAAGGAUUUAUUCGCUUCAGGAGGAGCCUGCGUCCCAUCAGCUAGUUGGUAGGGUAACGGCCUACCAAGGCUAUGACGGGUAGGGGACCUGAGAGGGUGGCCCCCCACAAUGGAACUGAAACACGGUCCAUACACCUACGGGUGGCAGCAGUAGGGAAUAUUAGUAAUGGGCGAAAGCCUGAACUAGCAAUACCGCGUGUGCGAAGAAGGCCUUCGGGUUGUAAAGCACUUUUUGGGAGGACGAGGAAGGACGGUACUCCCAGAAUAAGUCUCGGCUAACUACGUGCCAGCAGCCGCGGUAACACGUAGGAGGCGAACGUUAUCCGGAUUUACUGGGCGUAAAGCGCGUGUAGGUGGUUCGGUAAGUAGGGCGUGAAAGCUCCCGGCUCAACUGGGAGAGGCCGUUCUAAACUGCCGAGCUAGAGGAUGGUAGAGGGAGGUGGAAUUCCGAGUGUAGCGGUGGAAUGCGCAGAUAUUCGGAGGAACACCAGUGGCGAAGGCGGCCUCCUGGACCAUUCCUGACACUCAGACGCGAAAGCUAGGGUAGCAAACGGGAUUAGAGACCCCGGUAGUCCUAGCCCUAAACGAUGUUGACUAGGCGUCGGUGGCUUAAUCGCCAUCGGUGUCCAAGCUAACGCGAUAAGUCAACCGCCUGGGGACUACGACCGCAAGGUUAAAACUCAAAGGAA